rnacentral:lncRNA from 1 species
CUCCCUUAGCUCACCAGACGAUGCUAAAAAUGUUGCUGAUUACCUCUAUACUAACUUUCUUAGUGGUCAAUUUGGUCCACUUGGAAGUGUUACCUUAGAUGGUAUUGAUUUUGACAUUGAAGGAGGUAGCGAUCUUUACUGGGAUGACCUUGCUAGGAAUCUUGACAAUCUAAGACAACAAAACAGGUAAUGUUUUUUGAAUGAGAAGUUUUAGCAUGUUAAUACUAGUAGUUUGUCCGUCUCAUAUUAUGUAUUUUUAAGAUUAUGUCCAUUUCUUAAGAGCAUCAUUGAGUGUACAAAAUUUUAAGAUAAAAAUGAGUUUAAUUUCACAAAAAUAUUUUUAUUAAUGGUGGUUAGUAGUGGUUUGAAAUAAGGGGUAAAUAUGGCAACAAAGCCCAUAUAUGUGGGUACCCGUCUGUACCAAACUUAAAUUGACGGAUUUUCCCUGCUUUGAUUGGGUUUGAGUUUUCUUCGAUUUCAAAACACGAGUAUGAGACCGGUAAUGGACAUAUAAGUACCCACCCUUAACCCAUACCCAAACCCGUCUCGAAUGUAAAAAAAUCAAUUUAUUAUCCUUUUUAUAUAAAUAGAAACUCCAAACCUAAAUCAUUUCACUCACACUCUCAAUCUUUCAGACGACACUCACUUCUAUAAGUUCUUUCUCGUCUCCUUCCACAUUUCACACCCUGGGUCUCUCUCUUCCCCAUAACCUAGUCAUCGAUCAUCAUCAUUUCUUUGCUGAAUAAUGCAAUACAACAUUGAGCCUGAGGCUGAAAAAUACUUCUUUUUAUUAAAAAAUUUAUCCACUGCGGGGAUGAAGAUGGUACGGAGAUACACAAAUCGGUCGGGGAUGAGGAUGAGAUUCAAUUUCUCAUCCCUAUUGAGUAUGCGUAGGGUAACAGGUAAGUAUUUGAGACUAUGGUAUGAGAACGGGGAAGUUAAAAUUCUUCCCCACCUCGCCCCAUUGUCAUGCCUAAUAAGGGGUGCCAACUUAGUUUGGAUGUCUGGUAGUUUCUUUGAUGUUUUUAUGCUCUUAAUUUAGGAAACAAAUAGUGGUUUGAGAUAAAAUAAAGGCAAAAUUACACAAUUAGUCCCUUAACUUUAUUUUAGGUAACAUUUUCGUCCUUUAUCUUUUUUUUGUCACGAUUUAGUCCUUUAUGUUAUAAAAUGACAAUAUCUUAUCAUUUUUUAUGAGAUUUUUUUCAAAGAAAUUUGAUUUUCUAGACUUGUAUGAUGAAGAUUUACGUUUGCCUAAGAGUUUGAUGAUUUUUUUUUGGAGUUUUUGAUUAUUUUUUUCAUAAAAAAGGAUAACUAUGUUGUUAUUUUAUAACAUAUAGGACUAAAUCGUGACAAAAAAAAGAUAAAGGACGAAAGUGUUACCUAAAAUAAAGUUAAGGGACUAAUUGUAUAAUUUUGCCUAAAAUAAAUACAUAUGAUGAUUUGAUUUUUGAUAUGAUACGAUACGGAAAAUGUUAGAAAGUGCUCUUAUUAAGAAGUUUAAAGCGAAAAUUUUAUCUUGGUAAUUAUGUAUUUUGCACGUUGAUGGGAUAUAAAGCAACUUUUUAUAUAUAUAAAACUUAUCAAUUGUUUCCUUUUUUGUAUCAUUAAAAAGUGCCCUAAAAGCACUUCUUAGCUUGACUCGUAUAAUAUUUAUCAUAAAAGAAAAUAGCUUUCCAUUCAAUAUAUUUUUGAAUCCUUUUUUGCCUACACCCUAACUAAAAUCAACCUUUUAUCUCUUGCAGGUACUUUUACUUGGCAUCUGCACCCCAAUGUUUUAUGCCAGAUCACUACCUUGACAAAGCUAUCAAAACUGGCUUGUUUGAUUAUAUACUUGUUCAAUUCUACAAUAAUCCUCCAUGUCAAUAUGAUAUAAUAAACUCAGAUGCUACAUUGCUCUUACAAUCAUGGAAUGAUUGGACAUCUUUAGCUUUACCAAAUAAUACCGUUUUCAUGGGACUACCAGCAGCACCUGAUGCAGCUCCUUAUGGUGGUUAUAUACCACCAGAUGAUCUCAUUUCUAAGGUUCUUCCUUUCAUUAAACCAACUUCGAACUAUGGAGGAAUUAUGCUUUGGGAUAGAUUUCAUGAUGUUGGAAAUGAUUACAGCAAUCAGAUAAAGGAGUAUGUUAAACGAUCUGUUCUUCGAUUUGUGACACAAGUUUCUGAGGCAAUAGUUGGAUCUAUCUCGGCAGCUUUGAACUCCAUGUUUCCGAAUUAAAUCAUAUUAUAAAUUGAUAGUAAUCGCGUAGCUCACUAUAUAUAUAUAUAUGUAUGUGUAUGCAAUAAGACAAAACUCAGAUCCUCUACGACCAACUUUACGAUGGUUAUAGAUCGUUAGAUUAAGAAAAAAAAGUGAUCAGGAUCACUUAUUAUGCUUUGUACCUUUAUGCAUAAUAUGUACCUAGUUACACUUUGAUUCCCUCGGUUUUCAUGUAACCGGUGGGAAUCAAAACAUCUUAUGUAUGUACUGGAAGUCACUUUGAAAUUUGAAUAACAUUGUGCGUUUUCAACUUAAAUUCUAACCAGUCUAUGUAAUUCACAAAAGUGUAUAAGAACAACUAUAUUUUUGUAAGUUUUUUCGUAAAACAUUUUCUUAACAAAAUAUGUAAUAUAAUGUGAACUCGAGUAUAAAGUUUUUUAAUCUGAUGAAGCGUCACUACGUGGUUAUACUUAAUGGCAGUUUGAUUUUUAGGGCAACAAAGGAAACAAGGCAGUUGGUUGAAGGUAGUGAAAGGGAGUAGUAUGGACUUCUGUAAGCUUAUGUACAUUAGUUAAUUAGAAGCAACCAGGUUUUUUGUGAAGAUGAAUACCAUACAAAUUCCAUAGUCACCACCAAAAUUCAAAAGAUUCUAUGUUUGUCCUGAUGCAUGUAGAAAAGAUUUUAUGGCGGAAUGUAGCUAGGUCAUUGAUUGAUUUAGAUGGAUGCUUUCUCAAAGGAUGUUUUGGAGGGAAACAAUUGUCUGUUGUGGGACAAGAUGAAAAUAAUUGCAAUUUUGUCACUGCUUAUGCCAUUGUGGAUGUAGAAAAUGGGGAUAAUUGGAAGUGGUUUUUGAUACUAUUGCAUGAGGAGCUUGGAGACAACGUGCAGAACGGAAUUAAUUUUAUUUCAGACAUGCAAAAGGUAAUAAAAUACUGCAUGGAUUAUAUUCUAUUUUGACAACUUUCUAUUCUGUUAUUAUAUUCUGCAUGUAUGUUAUAAUUGCUCGUUUUAGGAUCAACUUGUUGGGAAAGUGACUCAAAAUUGGAGAAAUUGAGUUUGCUGAAGCUGUCAAAAUCGGAGCCCGAUUUGGAGAAAUGGAGAAAUCGGAGCACGAUUUUAUGUUGCAGAAUUGGCACUUUCAUUCGUAAAAAAUCGGAGCACGAUUUUGCGCAGAGUCAGAAAAAUAAAACGUAUUUUUGGGCCUGAUUUUGUUCCAAUUUAUGAGGGAUUCUUUUACUAUAAAUAUAGGCUUUGUAUCAGUAAUCCUUGAGAUAGAGGGGGCUCAAACGAGGGUUUAGAAAGACAACAACAAAACUAGGGUUUGUAUAGAGUUUGUCUCUUUGGCAACAAACACUUGGGUUUGAGGGUUGAUUCACUUUGGGAAACACUAUUAGGAUUGAGUCUCUUGGUUACGGGAAGAGAUUGAGGCUUUGGGUAGAAGGCGGGAGACUUAUUCUUGUAACCAUUGAUAUCUCUUUUGUAACGUUACUCAUCAUAUAGUGAAACGGAUGACUGCUCUCUCCCCCAUACUAGGUCAAUUUGGACUGAACUGGGUCAACAAAUUCUUUUGUGUUCUCUCUUCUUUUCUCUCGCUGUUUUCUACUUUUUGUUUGCGUUUAUAAUUGUUUCAUACACUGCGAUUUUGGUUGCUUGAUUAUCACUUGCUCCACACAUCAAGUUGUGAAAGUGACUCAAAAUUGGAGAAAUUGAAGUUUGCUGAAACUGUCAAAAUCGAAGCCCGAUUUGGAAAAAUCGGAACACGAUUUUUUGGAGAAGAAUUGACACUUUCAUUCGUAAAAAAUCUGAGCACGGUCUGGAAAAAUCGGAGCACGAUUUCGCGCAGAAGAAUAAAAAUAAAACGUAUUUAUAUGGGCCUGAUUUGGUUCCAAUUUAUGAGGGAUGCUUUUACUAUAAAUAUAAACAUUGUAUCAGUGUAAACCUUGAGAUAGAGGGGGCUGAAACAAGGGUUUAGAAAGAUAACAACAAAACUAGAGUUCGUAUAGAGUUUGCCUCUUUGGAAGAAACACUAGGGUUUGAGGGUUGAUUCACCUUGAGAAACACUAUUAAGAUUGAGUCUCUUGGUUACGGUAAGAGAUUGAGACUUUGGGUAGAAUUAGGCGGGAGACUUAUUUUUGUAACCCAUUGAUAUCUCUUUUGUAAGGUUACUCAUCAUUAUAGUGAAACGGGGGCUGCUCUCUCCCACAUACUAGGUCAAUUUGGACAAGACUGGGUCAACAAAUUCUUUUGUGUUCUCUCUUCCUUUCUCUCCCGUUGUUUUCUACUUUUGGCUUGUGUUUAAAAUUGUUCCAUACACUUUGUUUUGGUUGCUUGACUAUCCCUUGCUCCACACAUCAAGUUUGUUAUUGGUGUGAUUUUUUCAUCGAAUUCACAACAGGAUGCUUGAUUUAUGCAUCAACCCUACCUGUUAACAGACAUAAAUUUGAUUAUAGAGCUAAGAAAUGUGCUUUCUUAUGUUAGAAGUCUGGCAUUAAAGGUUUUGUUCUUGUUGAUGUCCAUACUUCUGAAGUCUUAGUUUCCAAAUUUGUGAAAUUUUUUUAACUGGAAUUUCCAUUUCAUUCUUCUAGUAUAACUUCAGUUCCCAAUACACAGAUUUAUCUUUGAUAGUCAAGUCAUUUAACCAAUGCCUGUUAGUUCUUCUCCUCCUAAUGUUGUGAGUUCUAAUGAAGACAAUGUUGAAGUUUUAAAUGAAGAUAAUAUUAGUGAUAAUGAAGAGAGGGAUAUUGAUAUUGUGCAUGUAUCUACCAGAAAGUCUUUUAGGGUUUCUCAGGCACCUUCUCACUUGCAAGACUAUAUCUGCAUCUCCAUAGGUGGUAACUAUCCUAUGCGUAAAUUCCUUAGUUAUUCAACUCUAUUUCCUAAACACCAGCUUAUGCAUACUAUUUGAACACUGAACUUGAGCCCACUAGUUUUUAUUCUGCUAGUAAAGACUCUAGAUGGAUAACUGCUAUGCAGACAGAGAUAGAAGCACUCAAUGCUAACAAUACUUGAGAAUUUGUUGAUCUUCCUUCAGAUGCAACAUCUAUAGGCAGUAAUGAGUGUAUAAAAUAAAAAGACAUGCAGAUGGCACUAUAGAACGUUUCAAAGCACCGUUGGUUGCACAAGGUUUUAACCAAGUCAAUGCACACGUGGACGCCACGUAUGUAAUUUUUUUUAAUUAAAAAAUUAAAAUAAAAAUUUAUAUUUUUUAAUUUAAAAAUAUAUAUUAAAAAAUAAAAAAAUAAAAAAUACAUACACACGUGGCGUCCACAUGUGCAUUGACUUGGUCAAAAUUGCCCUGGGGGGCCAAAACUGUAAAAAAAGUCAAUACUUUGGGGGCAAUUUUGUAGUUUAUUUAGUUAGGAGGCCAAAAUCGCAACUUCUUAAAACAUAGGGGGCCAAAACUACUAUUAAGCUUUUUAUAAUCCAUCUAACAAUAGUGUUUUUUUUUUUUUGGGUAAAUACCUCUUUUCGUCCCUGUAAUAUUAGCGAAUUCCGAUUUUAGUCCCUAUAAAAAAAAGAUUUAGAUUUUGUCUCUGUAAUUUAAGAUUCUUCCACUUUUGAUCCCUCAUUCCACCACGUCAGCAGAAUCUGCAUACAUGGUACCUAAAAUGAGGGAUCAAAAGUGGAGGAAUCUGAAAUUAAAGGAACCAAAAGUGGGAGGAAUCUGAAAUUACAAGGACGUAAUUGAUGCAGAUUUUGCUGACGUGAUGAAAAGAGGGACCAAAAGUGGAAGAAUCUGAAAUUACAGGGACAAAAUCUAAAGCAUUUUAUUUACAGUGACUAAAACCGAAAUUCGCUAAUAUUACAGGGACGAAAAGAGGUAUUUACCCUUUUUUUUUUUUUGGCUUAAUUGCACUUUUCCCCCCUAUAGUUUGCCAAUUGUGCGAUUUUGCACCCCAUAGUUUUAACGAGCGAUUUUGCCCCCUAUAGAUUUCCCCCUUUAUGAUUUUAUGGUCCCCAUGAUAUUUAGUGCUGGUUUUUUUAUCAAUUAAUGUGUGUCACGUGUGUAAUUCUAUUUUUUAAAAAAUAAAAAAAUGGUAUUUUUCAGAUUUUGAGAGAAGGAGGCACGUGAUUUUUCAGAUUUUAUCACGUGUCUCCUUCUCUCAAAAUCUGAAAAAUACCAUUUUUUUUAUUUUUUAAAAAAUGGAAUUACACACGUGGCACACAUUAAUUGAUAAAAACAGACAUAUCAGCACUAAAUGUCAUGGGACCAUAAAAUCAGAAAGGGGGAAAACUAUAGGGGGCAAAAUCGCUCGUUUAAAACUAUGGGGUGUAAAAUCGCACAAUUGGCAAACUAUAAAAGAAAAAAGUGCAAUUAAGCCUUUUUUUUUUUACCGUAUGAAAGUAAUGAAAAAUAGCUUGUUUGCCCUAAACUAAAAUCAGCAGCACCUAUACUAAGUUCACUAUAUUAUACUCUUUCUUUUUUCUUGACAACACCAUGUUUUAUUAAAACAGCCCUGUGCCAGAAAUAACUAAAGGGCAAUAUAUCAACAGAGAACAAAAGCCAAAGGCCAACAUUAGUAGGAAAACCUCAUCCUAUGUUAUACCUACAGAUACAAUAGUGAAAUCAGAGCUUACAAAAUCAGAUAUCACUUAGAUAAACUAGCUACUAUAAGUCUUAAAUAUCUCUCAUUCGCUGUAAUUACUAUACAUAUAAGUUUAGUCAGCUUAAUAUAUAUUAAUAAAUUACAUUCCUAAAUUUCAUUAUCUCUAAAAUCAAUAUCUUUUUCCUUAAAGCAUACAAACAGCAUAUAAAUACUUAACUGACUUCUAAUUCAAUGUCUAAUUUUGAGUUGUAUGGGAAAGUGUCCUUACCUUAAGUGCUCUCCUUCCUAAUAUAUAGAGAAUUCUACCCAAUUGCCGGAACACGACUUCAAGAAUUAUUCUUCACUCAGGAGAGUACAAAUGGAAGAACAAAAGGGUGACUUUAUUUAGAAUGAAAUUAAAGGAUUGAAGAAAGAAUAGAAGAACAGACAAUGAAAUGACCCUUACCUCAAGACUUGAAUGGCAUGAAGCAUUUAUAUAAUAAAUGGGAGAGUUCAAUUGAGAAAAUGGUGGCUUGUAGUUUCAAUUUUUGGCAGGUAAAUGUUUUCAAUUUUGUGAGAUUAGAAAAUUUGGCUGAGUAUUGUAGGUGAGGUGUAUUUCUGUACUGGAAAUUGGAAAUAUGAAGUGGUGGUAGUUGAGAAGAAAUAGGAAC